rnacentral:rRNA from 1 species
GAUGAACGCUGGCGGCGUGCCUAAUACAUGCAAGUCGAACGAACAGAUGAGGAGCUUGCUCCUCUGACGUUAGCGGCGGACGGGUGAGUAACACGUGUAUAACCUACCUAUAAGACUGGGAUAACUUCGGGAAACCGGAUCUAAUCCCGGAGAAUAUAUUGAACCGCAUGGUUCAAUAGUGAAAGACGGCUGUGGUGUCACUAAUCGCUGGUUCCGCGCCGCAUUAGCUAGUUGGUAAGGUAACGGCUUACCACGGCAACGAUGCGUAGCCGACCUGAGAGGGUGGUCGGCCACAUGGGAACGGAGACGCGGACAAGACUACUGCGAGAGGCAGCAGUAGGGAAUGUUACGCAGUGGGCGAGAGCCUGGCGGAGCAACGGGGCGUGAGUGAUGGAGGUGUUCGGAUCGUAAAACUCUGUUAUGAGGGAAGAACAGAUGUGGAAGGAGAUGUGCCCGUCUUGACGGUAACUAAUCAGAAAGCCACGGCUAACUACGUG